rnacentral:rRNA from 1 species
GACGAACGCUGGCGGCGUGCCUGACACAUGCAAGUCGGACGGUUCUUGCACCUUCAAGCUUGCUUGCUGGUGCAAGGAUAGUGGCGGACGGGUGAGUAACGCGUGAACAUCUACCCAUUGGAGGGGGACAACCCGUCGAAAGGCGGGCUAAUACCGCGCAAGCCGCGAGGUGAGAGGCUGCCUAUUGGUGGCCGCCGAUGGAUGGGUUCGCGUCCUAUCAGCUGGUUGGUGGGGUAACGGCCUACCAAGGCGAAGACGGGUAGCCGGUCUGAGAGGAUGGCCGGCCACACUGGAACUGAGACACGGUCCAGACUCCUACGGGAGGCAGCAGUGGGGAAUAUUGGGCAAUGGGGGUAACCCUGACCCAGCGACGCCGCGUGAGGGACGAAGGUUUUCGGAUCGUAAACCUCUGUUGUACGGGAAGAAGGAAUUGACGGUACCGUACGAGAAAGCCCCGGAAACUACGUGCCCAGCAGCCGCGGUAAGCUAGUCUACG